GGCAGACGCCGCUUUUGACUCUCUUCGAUUUACAAACCCUGGACAGGAAAGUCAACCAUGAACUGCAGUGGAGGACAUGCCAGACCCAGGCAGCAAGUUCUGCCCUCUUUCUCCACCAGGACCCUGCAGCACCCCUCCUUCCUGCCCCUCUACAUGGCUGCAGGCUUUGCGCACCAUCACAUAGGCUGUAACGACCAAGCAGUCCAUCCCAUCAUCCCAGUCGAGGUCUUCUACACUGACCCCGCCAUGAGCUGUGGCAGGAGGAUCCCCA